rnacentral:rRNA from 1 species
GAGUUUGAUCCUGGCUCAGGAUGAACGCUAGCGACAGGCUUAACACAUGCAAGUCGAGGGGCAGCGGUGGUGAAGGCUUGCCUUUACCAGCCGGCGACCGGCGCACGGGUGAGUAACACGUAUGCAACCUGCCUGCCACAGCCGGAUAAUCGGGAGAAAUUCCGUCUAAUACGGCAUAAUGCAUCGACGGGACAUCCUGUUGGUGCCAAAGGUUAAUUCCGGUGGCGGAUGGGCAUGCGUCGCAUUAGUUAGUUGGCGGUGUAACGGACCACCAAGACGACGAUGCGUAGGGGUUCUGAGAGGAAGGUCCCCCACACUGGUACUGAGACACGGACCAGACUCCUACGGGAGGCAGCAGUGAGGAAUAUUGGUCAAUGGGCGGGAGCCUGAACCAGCCAAGUCGCGUGAGGGAUGACGGCCCUAUGGGUUGUAAACCUCUUUUGCCGGGGAGCAAAGUGCCGCACGUGUGCGGUUUGGAGAGUACCCGGAGAAAAAGCAUCGGCUAACUCCGUGCCAGCAGCCGCGGUAAUACGGAGGAUGCGAGCGUUAUCCGGAUUUAUUGGGUUUAAAGGGUGCGUAGGCGGACGCUUAAGUCAGCGGUAAAAUUGCGGGGCUCAACCUCGUCGAGCCGUUGAAACUGGGUGCCUUGAGUGGGCGAGAAGUACGCGGAAUGCGUGGUGUAGCGGUGAAAUGCAUAGAUAUCACGCAGAACUCCGAUUGCGAAGGCAGCGUACCGGCGCCCAACUGACGCUGAAGCACGAAGGCGUGGGUAUCGAACAGGAUUAGAUACCCUGGUAGUCCACGCAGUAAACGAUGAAUGCUAGUUGUCCGGUUCUUUGGGACUGGGUGACACAGCGAAAGCGUUAAGCAUUCCACCUGGGGAGUACGCCGGCAACGGUGAAACUCAAAGGAAUUGACGG